rnacentral:rRNA from 1 species
UACGGAGGGUGCGAGCGUUAAUCGGAAUUACUGGGCGUAAAGCGCGCGUAGGCGGCCAAGUCAGUCGGAUGUGAAAGCCCCGGGCUUAACCUGGGAAUUGCAUUCGAUACUGCUUGGCUAGAGUUUGGUAGAGGAUGGCGGAAUUCCGGGUGUAGCGGUGAAAUGCGUAGAUAUCCGGAGGAACAUCAGUGGCGAAGGCGGCCAUCUGGACCAAAACUGACGCUGAGGUGCGAAAGCGUGGGUAGCAAACAGG